rnacentral:rRNA from 1 species
GUUAGGAAUUUUGCGCAAUGGGGGAAACCCUGACGCAGCAACGCCGCGUGAAGGAUGAAGGCUUUCGGGUUGUAAACUUCUUUUAGCAGGAAAGAACACAAUGACGGUACCUGCAGAAAAAGCACCGGCUAACUCUGUGCCAGCAGCCGCGGUAAUACAGAGGGUGCAAGCGUUAUUCGGAAUUACUGGGCAUAAAGAGCGCGUAGGCGGUCUAAUAAGUCUGAUGUGAAAUCCCUGGACUCAAUUCAGGAAGUGCAUCGGAUACUGCUAGACUAGAGUGCAGGAGAGGAGAGCGGAAUUCCUGGUGUAGAGGUGAAAUUCGUAGAUAUCAGGAGGAACAACAGUGGCGAAGGCGGCUCUCUGGACUGUAACUGACGCUGAGGCGCGAAAGCGUGGGGAGCAAACAGGAUUAGAUACCCGGGUAGUCC